UAGAUCUAACAGCAACAGACUUCUCAAUUUUCCUACAAUUGAUGAGGAUUAUAAUACUAUGUGCAAAUCAAAUGUUGUGCUAACUAUCCAACACCCUGAUUUUAAUAAGCAACCUUGGACAACGAUAUAGCAAUAUUGGAGUUAGAAAAUGAAAUUUCUUUCAAUGAAAAAUCAAACGUAAGCUGUUCAAAAGAAUCAAGACUGCAAUGUGACUAGAUGGGGAGAACAAAUUUUCAAUGAGCCCAAGUCUAAAAUCCUUCAUGAGGUAUGCCUACUCUUUCGUGGCGAGCAAAAUUGUCGAAAAGAUAAUGAUAAAACUUAUAGCAGCAUCGCUGAUAAUGUGAUAUGUAUUGACGUUGGUGGACGAGAUGGUCAGGGAGAUUCCGGUGGUCUUUAUCCUGUCGCGUUGACGGUUUAUGGAGUCAUAGGUAUAGUUAGUUCAAGUGGUAAAUGUGGGAUGAAAGGACAUAACGAAUCGCAGAGAGUUUAAACUAAUGUCAGGAAAUAUAUUAAUUGGAUAGAUCAAAUUGUUUUAGAUUCCGAAUAUCCUGAAGUUAUUACCA